CGCACCUUGCGCCCUUUGGUAUUCCGAGGGGCAUGCCUGUUUGAGUGUCAUUAAAUACCAUCAACCCUCUUUUGACUUCGGUCUCGAGAGUGGCUUGGAAGUGGAGGUCUGCUGGAGCCUAACGGAGCCAGCUCCUCUUAAAUGUAUUAGCGGAUUUCCCUUGCGGGAUCGCGUCUCCGAUGUGAUAAUUUCUACGUCGUUGACCAUCUCGGGGCUGACCUUGGUCAGUUUCAAUAGGAGUCUGCUUCUAACCGUCUCUUGACUGAGACUAGCGACUUGCGCGCUAACUUUUGACUUGACCUCAAAUCAGGUAGGACUACCCGCUGAACUUAA
rnacentral:misc_RNA from 1 species